rnacentral:rRNA from 1 species
UACAGAGGGGGCAAGCGUUGUCCGGAUUUAUUGGGUUUAAAGGGUGCGUAGGCGGCCUAUUAAGUCAGUGCUGAAAUAUCCCGGCUUAACCGGGAGGGUGGCAUUGAUACUGAUGGGCUUGAGUAGAGUUGAGGUUGGCGGAAUUGACGGUGUAGCGGUGAAAUGCUUAGAUAUCGUCAAGAACACCUAUUGCGAAGGCAGCUAACUAGCUCAAACUGACGCUGAGGCACGAAAGUGUGGGGAUCAAACAGG